CUUCUUCUUGAUGUUAGUUGUUGUUGCUGUUGCUGCUGCUGCUGUGUCUGAUGAUACCCCAUAUUUCCUUGCUGUGGUUGCAGGAUGCUUAAAAAUACUACUGGUUUGCUGGCUUUUAUUUCUGGAGCUGUUUGGCAUGAGGUUAUCCUGAAAAGCCUUUUUGGGAAUCGCAUGGGUGAACAUGUCA